rnacentral:lncRNA from 1 species
GGUCCGCCCCGCCUCUCCUCUCCCGGGAGAGGCCGGGACGCGCCCACUCGGCAUAGCCUUAAAGGGCUCGCUCUUCCGGAGCGCACCCUGAGAGAGACGUCGGACAAGCCUGGGAAUGAUCACCCUUCUCCCGAAACGCAGAGACUCUAACGGGAACUCCUGACCCCGCUUACUCACCUACAACCAGAUAUUCCCCCUGCUUUCUGCGCCCAGGUUUCUCCUCCGGCUGUGGAGGGCGGGGGUCCCCUAGGCCCUUGGGACUUGGGCGUGGCUUACCAUCGCAGCCGUGGUGUGAACUGUAUCGUGCCCAGGCUCCAAUGCGCCCUGUGCUUUGAACUGGGGGCUUCCUAGGGCUUGAGGCUGCUUGAGGCUGUGCUCGUACCCCAGGGAACCGGCAGCGUUGGAACUCCGCGGCGCUGUUGCGGCUCUUGCCCCAUCCUCCAUCCCUGUGCCAAUCAGGGACUUCCUUCUAGGCCGCCUGCAUACAGUGCGAACAUAAGUAUACCCCCCUUCGCACAUUUAUUGAGCUCCUGUUGCGUGCAGAGCUUAUACAUCACACAUCUGUGACGGGCCCCUCAGUCAGGCGACGGCUCCGAGCCGCGAACACAGCCAAGAGCACCGGACCUCAGCCGAUCCUCCAAGUCCCAGCCCCUAUGACUCUCCCAACUCGGUUCCGUGACUAGAACCUGCAGCCCGGAGACUCGGAACUUUGGGCAGCCACGUGGGCGCGGGAUUCCGACAUGGGUCGCUCGUCCACAGCAACUCAACCCUAGAAGUCGCAUUUAGGGAGCCCAUGACUCUGAAGUUGACCCUGGCCUGACUAACCCUCUAACCCUCGCUCGAUCCAGGCUGAAACAUCUAGAUUUGCGGAGCGCGGGAAAGUGCCUGGAUUCCAGCGCAUCUGUAUGGCACCCGGGUCUGCGUCCACGCGGGCCUCCACGGCGCGCUUGGCCUGGCUCAGCCCCUGCAUCUACAAAAGACGCCGGUCCUUUGGAUCGCGAUGCAGUCAACAGCAGCUCCCCUAGCAGGGAACCCUGGUUCAGCAGGAACGUCCUCCAGAAUAGCUGUCCCCAGACCCAUGAGUUCCACCGACACAGAUCAGUGGAGGCUGAAGUGUUCUCCAGUCCUUGGAGAAAGGAGAAAAGUCACAACAACAGUGAGGUUCUUUUUGUUUUGUUUUGUUUUCUCAAUAAGGUUAAAACUUUCCAGCUUCGUAUUAGCCUUUAAUCAAGGAUUAUGCCCUUACUGCUUUAUUGGUGUGAAAACAUCCUUUCUUUACUAAAAUGGUGGUGGGACAAGUGUUUUUUUUCAUGUCUUUAUUUGGUGAAAGAACAUAAGGAACAUUUUUUUCCCCAUCUGUUAACUCCCCCACCCUCAAGUUUCUUUGGACAUUUUAUAGUCUGGGAACAACUGUCCUAUGGGGUCAUAGCUCCAACUCCCCACCCUGCUGGCUGGAACCAGAGGAGAGGGUGGGUGAGUAGGGAGAGUGGGACUGUGAGGAGGCGUGAGGGAGAGAAGGGCUGAGUCACAGGCAUCCACAGCCACACUGAAAUCAGUCUGAAGGCUUGCUAAGGGAUCAUCUACUGUGUACCUAGCCCUGGCUUGGGCUGUGGAGAGGGAAGGGCUAGAGGUGUCUGCCUUCCAGGAGCCAUUGGCUGCUUUGAGAAGCUGAAGAGUUAUUAGAGCCGAUUUAGGUGCUAGAGUAGUCUAUACAGGUAAUGGACAGAAAGAGCUCAGAUAUGGUGAGAUCAAUGUGGACUAGAGUAGUCAGGGUGGCUUCCUGAAGGAGGUAGAUUUCAUGUGGGCCUGGAUGGCUUAGGAGGGUUUGGAAAGCUGGAAAGGAACAAGAGCUCUGAUUUGUUCCCCAGAAGUUGGUGCGGCCCCACAGGAGUCCCUGGUCUAGUCAGCACUGAUUCCUUCACCAUCGUCUACACAACGACCAACCUCAUAUACUGAGUGAUUACUAUGUGCCAGGCAUCCUGUCAAGAGCUUCACACACAUUAUCUCAUUUAAUCAUCACACCAACCCUGUGACAUAGGGACUCGUAUCCCCAUUUGACUAAUGAGGAAACUGAAGCUCAGAGAGAUGAAGUCACCUAAGUUCUCACAGCUUGAAAAUGAAGGUGUCAGAAUUUGAAACCCAGGCAGUCUGACUCCUGAGCCCACAUCCUAACUAUCACACUCUAGUGUUCCAUUAUAAAAUUCCAGAGGGAGUCCUUAUUUGCCUUGUGGUCUUGGCAGACAAAUGCUGACAAAUAAGCUGUCACUAAUAUGGAGCCCUGACUUUCUGGGUGGCUCAUGUUGCAUGAAGGGGGCCAUCAACAGGAUUAGGGAAUCAUCUUGGUGGUCUGUAUAGGGGG